rnacentral:rRNA from 1 species
UACGUAGGGGGCGAGCGUUGUCCGGAAUCAUUGGGCGUAAAGAGCGUGUAGGCGGCCCGGUAGGUCUGGUGUGAAAACUCGAGGCUUAACCUCGAGAUGUCAUCGGAAACCAUCUGGCUAGAGUCCGGAAGAGGAGAGUGGAAUUCCUGGUGUAGCGGUGAAAUGCGCAGAUAUCAGGAAGAACACCAAUGGCGAAAGCAGCUCUCUGGGACGGUACUGACGCUGAGACGCGAAAGCGUGGGGAGCGAACAGG